UACGUAGGGUGCGAGCGUUAAUCGGAAUUACUGGGCGUAAAGCGUGCGCAGGCGGUUCGUUGUGUCGGUGGUGAAAUCCCCGGGCUUAACCUGGGAAUGGCCAUGGAAACUGGCGAACUGGAGUGCGGCAGAGGGGGGUGGAAUUCCGCGUGUAGCAGUGAAAUGCGUAGAGAUGCGGAGGAACACCGAUGGCGAAGGCAGCCCCCUGGGCCAACACUGACGCUCAGGCACGAAAGCGUGGGGAGCAAACAGG
rnacentral:rRNA from 1 species